UUGGAAUAGAGUCACUGGAAGCUGGGCAUAAGAGAUGGCUCCAUGGAGGAAGUUCUUCUACAGCUGGACUUGGGAGGUUUGAUGUUCUCUGUAUUACGUCACCUGGAAUUCUUCCUUCAAAUGGAACAUACAGGCCUGGAUCAGGUACAGGGAAGACGCAAACAGCACAUCGCUCAAAUCUGAUCAUUAAUAAGUGACAUAAGAGCCUGGCAGCGGCAGCAGCGGUUUUACAAGGACUGUGGAACCUAAUAGCCAAAUGAUCCUUCCUCAGCAACUUCCUGCUUCACAUUCCAGCUAUUUGAGACCAAGAAAUACCCAAUCACACUUCCCUAUUUCAUGGACUUGAGCUGCCUGAGGAUCCCUUGUAAUGAUUCCCCUUGGAUGCCCACUUCAGCAGUGGGCACUGUCCAUCUGCCAACUUGCAGCUAGAAGCAGCCAGGGCUCAGAGCCAAGGAGCUGGACCCAUGGCCUCGCAUGCCAAGAUACCAACUUGGUGUCAGCAAAACUGAAGAAAGCUUCAGGGCCACUUUUUGCUGCCUCACAGAAACUCCAGGGGAUUGGUUGGCAGGGAGCUCGCUUGCUUCGGGGAGAGGUGGAAGGUUUUUAACUCCACUGCUAAUGAGUGAGAUGGAGCCUGACAAGACAAUAACAAGAGGACUGGGGCCCAAAGACAUGAAGAUAGUAGGUCACAGAGCACUGAUUUAGACUGUUUCCUGGCCUCCAAGUUUGGGGCUCUUUCUAUUGUUCCACAUAUGUCUUAACUUGCCCAAAUUGCUCCCAAGAUAGAAGCUGUGGUGACCAUCCACAAGAGACACAGCAUUUGGCUCUGGACUGGAACCCAAAGUGCUGGGUUCAUGUGUUUGUGUGUGGACUUUCAGUUGGUGACUAAAAGGUUCCCUCUCUUCCCCUCUUCCUGGAGCCUGGCGAUAUAAGAAAUGGUCAAGGAAGAAGAGAUCCUGACUCCUGCCUCCGCUGAGUCCCUCCCUCUGGGCCAACAGGGCCAGUGCUGUUGCCUUCUACAGCCCCAUGUGGAUCCUUCUCUUAGGAGUGCCCAGUCCAGGUGCCAGGCCAAAAUUCCAGCAUGAUUGAAAGGCAUGACCAAAGAGCAGAGACAUGAGGCAAGAGGUGAUGGAAUGACUCCUAGACACGCCUCUCCUGACUCUGGCUGCUGCCACCACACUGUGGCCGCCUUCUCAUCCUGAAGCAUCUCUUCCUUAGCCCUGGAGUCUGCUGGUCCUGUUGACGAGCCAUUCUAAGGCUCCACUGGAGGAAGGGCCUGGGCCAGUCAUCCUUCUGACCUCCCCUGGACCUCUGGACUGCACUAGCCUGUCUCACUUGGCCCCUCUGCUUUCUGGAUCUCCCCCCUUAGAAUAUAAUCUCCUUGAGGGCAGGGGCUGCAUGUCUUUGUGCUUGCAUUUGUGCCCUUGGUGCCUAGCACAGUGCCAGGCAGCCCACAGGGGCUUAAUAAACAUU